UUGGAGGGCAAGUCUGGUGCCAGCAGCCGCGGUAAUUCCAGCUCCAAUAGCGUAUAUUAAAGUUGUUGCAGUUAAAAAGCUCGUAGUUGAACUUCGGGAUCAAUUGAUUGGUCAUGCCGUUGGUAUGUACUGGUCAUAUUGGUUCUCACCUUCUAAGGAACCAUAAUGUCAUUAAUUUGAUGUUUUGGGGAAUUAGGACUGUUACCUUGAAAAAAUUAGAGUGUUUAAAGCAGGCUAACGCUUGAAUACAUUAGCAUGGAAUAAUGAAAUAGGACAUCGCAUUCUAUUUUGUUGGUUUCUAGGAUCGAUGUAAUGAUUAAUAGGGAUAGUUGGGGGCAUUAGUACUCAAUUGUCAGAGGUGAAAUUCUUGGAUUUAUUGAAGACUAACUACCGCGAAAGCAUUUGCCAAGGAUGUUUUCAUUAAUCAAGAACGAAAGUUAGGGGAUCGAAGACGAUCAGAUACCGUCGUAGUCUUAACCAUAAACUAUGCCGACUAGGGAUCGGAUGAUGCUUAUUUUUUAAUGACUCAUUCGGCGCCUUACGGGAAAC
rnacentral:rRNA from 1 species